ACAUGCCUACAAAAUAGUGUUAAUGCAUUGGAUCCCAUUAGAACUCUGCAGUUAAGUGCACUUGGGCUAGAGUAGUACUAGGAUGGGUGACCACCUGGGAAGUCCUAGUGUUUUGCAUGCC
rnacentral:rRNA from 1 species